rnacentral:rRNA from 1 species
UACGUAGGGUGCAAGCGUUGUCCGGAAUUAUUGGGCGUAAAGAGCUCGUAGGCGGUUUGUUGCGUCGGCUGUGAAAUCCCGAGGCUCAACCUCGGGUCUGCAGUCGAUACGAGCAAACUAGAGUGUUGCAGGGGAGACUGGAAUUCCUGGUGUAGCGGUGAAAUGCGCAGAUAUCAGGAGGAACACCGGUGGCGAAGGCGGGUCUCUGGGCCGACAUUGACGCUGAGGAGCGAAAGCGUGGGGAGCGAACAGG